rnacentral:rRNA from 1 species
GUCAAGUCAGCAUGCCCCUUACAUCCUGGGCUACACACGUGCUACAUUGGGUUAGGACAAUGAGAUACAAUUUCGUGAGAAAAAGUCAAUCUAUAAACCUACUCUAAGUUCAGAUUGUAGGCUGCAACUCGCCUACAUGAAGUUGGAAUCGCUAGUAAUCGCUGGUCAGCUACACAGCGGUGAAUUCGUUCCCGGGCCUU